CGUGUAUUGUGCAUGCGCAUUGAACACUUCCUGUGACAGGUAUAUUUUUUGUAACAGGUACUUGCUGACAUCGGUAUGGCUUGGUGGUCGUGACGUGUCGGGAAUUUCAAAUCGUUGAUAUAUGAACAACAAGACAACUGUCAUAAAAUGUAUAGGAUAAGAAUUCCAAUGAAAGAUGUUCUCUAGUGUACUUCGUUGUGUCCCGCUGUGCAAAAUCGUCGCUUCGACAUCGCUGGUCUUAGGCGCCAAAUCAACCGUUGUCGUAUAACGGAGGAAGAACUCACGGAUGUUAC